AAGCGCUUCGAACGCACCAUUUAUUUAAUUUUUAAGAUCAUGUUUGUUUCUUACAUUGAAUGCUGGCCCGAAAUAUUAAGCACACGGAACCACAUAGAGGUUAUACAAAAGCAUCAGAGUUGAAUUAAAUGAUGUAUGGAUUGACUCACAUUGUUAACAUAUCAAAGAUUGUUUUCUAGCUUGUAUUUCGCCAUAGGCACACUACGUUUGUAUUAUGUUUUAGAUUUUCAAAUACGUUAGCCUCUAGCAUCACCUAAUAUAUAUUUAUAGUCGAAAUGCGCA
rnacentral:lncRNA from 1 species